GCCUCCACCGGUGACUUCUCCACUCCUGCUCCCCGGCUGCGUCUCACUCCCUCGGGGGGCUCACUCCGGGGUGUGGGGCGCACUUGUCCCCUUCCACAGCCACUUGGAUGCAGGGAUCAGGGGCCUGGGGGAGCCCUUUGGGCAGGUUGGUGGGUGUGGCCAGGGUGGCCCUGCCUUUUCCCCAAACUGGGAGGAGCACGGCUGGAAAUAGAGCCCCGCCCCGCCCUACACGCCCGGAGCUCCUCCCCUGACCCAGCCUCAGCUGGGUCCCCAGAGAUGACAUCAGUUUUGGGGGCUUGGAGGCCAAGCACCUCUUCCAGGCUGGAAGAAGCCUCUCCCCAGGGACCUCCCAGCUCUUGGGCCUCUGGCUGGGGUUGCAGAAAGAACGUCCUGGCCCUGCAGCAAGAAGAUGGGACGGGGUGGGGGAACUGCAGGUGCGACUUGGAAGCCAAGGCAAAGGUCUUUAAACUCCACCAGGGGCGUGGUCAGAGGACGUUAUGCAAAUCACAUGCAGGUGAGGCCCCACCCCAACCAGGGAGAAGACCACUCAAACCCCCGCAGUCCCCAGCAUCACCGUCAGCAGCAGCACCAAAGCAGGGCACGGGAGGUGGACGUCAACGGUCCCAGAAUCCAUCCCCGUGGGGCGAUGGACUAGGCAAAGGGGAGGCGCCGCCCUUGGGUGGCUCGGGCUGCAGAGUAGGUGAUGAGGGUCGCGCCCAGAUGCCAGGGUGGCUACUGUCAAAACAGCUGGCUCUUUGUCACUCAGCCGUUCCUGCGUUUAUUUGGCAGAGUCCCGCUGACACAGCAGAAGGAAGUGCCUGUCCUAUGGGGCCGGAGCUUCUGCAGGGCGGCAGUGAGAAGGAAAGGAGAGAACAGGAGCAGCUGAAGCGGGGCGUGGGAGCGGCGAGCGGUCAGGGCAGAGUCCUGGAGGAGAAGGGCUGGCCUCCCAGGAGACCGCAGAAUGUUCUAGAAGUUUUACAAUUGCAGCAGCAAAACACCUUGGUAGGGAGAUGAUUGAAAAUGGAACUGCAAGAGCUGGGGUGGGUGGAGCACUGGCCCACCACGUGACAGGCUCUGGGUACCAUCUCUGGAACCACAAGGAGAAAAAGCAUCAGCGGGGGUGUUACACAUUGUAAUUCCAGCACCUGGGAGGCUGAGGCAGGAGGAUCACUGUGAGUUCAAGGCCAGCCUGGGCUACAUAGUGAGACCUUGUUUUUAGAGUCAUAGUGGAUUCCACUAAUCCUGCUGCAGGUUGAGCAUUGCCUCGUGUUUGUAGCUCCGUACGUACCCAAGUAUGCUCUCUGGAUGGAGCCCGAGCCCCAUGGAUGGAACGCUCAUUUGUUUUUGGAACCCAGCAGUAAUUUGGUGGCAAUGGACUCUUGGUAUUUCACAGUUAUUAUAGCAGUAAAAUUUACAAUCUACAGAACUGUGACAAUAUUAAGCUACUAAUGGGAUUAUUAUUUUUGUUUGUGUGUGUUUGAAAGCCAUGGAAAUGAGAUUUACUUCCAACAAUACAGUUGCAAUUUUAUGUCCCUCAAAUUGACCGUAAAUAUAAACACAUUCAGAGUGCCUGUAAAACACGCUCAGAGUCUUUCUUGGAAAAAGUGGGCUCCAACUCCAUCCUGAUGGGGCCCGGCCUGGCAGUCAGAGCUCCCGGGUGGGCAACUUCAGAAGAAUGGAGCAAUGUCUUCCCGGCCAUAGCGGAGAGGGUGGCCCCCGAUUCACAGGCUUGGAGGCCUGGGAGGUGGCAUCGGAGGGGCCUGGCUUGGGAGGCAUCCCGAGCACUGGGAGACAAGGGCAGCAGGUGCUGGGCACUCAGGGGACGUCCCUGGCCAUCCCCUGGGGCUGCCGGGACUAAUGCCCCAGAGUGGGUGGCUCAGAACACCGGAAAGGAGUCUCAUAGUUCUGCAGCUGGAAGUCAGAGAUCCAGGUGUUGUCAGGCCUCCUCCCUGAAACGCUCCAAGGAAGGGGCCUCCUCACCCCUUCCGGCUUCCACGGCCCCCCGUCACUUGACUGGGGCCACAGCCUUGUAAUGGCUGCUUCUGCGCCCAUCUGCCCGAUGUCUGCCACCUCUUCUGUCUCUUACAGGGACCCCAUUAUCAGAUUUGGGGCCCACCUUCACCUUGCCCUCUCCUGGAUUCCAUCUGCUAAAACCCCUUCUCCAAACACGUUCUGAGUGACGUGCAGGACCUUUGUGGGGUGAUCCAACCCACUGUAGUAACAUCACCACCAUCAGCAAGACAGGGACCUAGCUGGGUGUGGCGGUGCACACCUGUAAUCCCAGCACUCGGGAGGCUGAGGCAGGAGGAUCACAAGUGUGAGCCCAGCCUGGGCGACUUGGUGAGACCCUGUCUUGGAAAGAAGGGAGAAAGGGAAAGAAAGAAAGACUGAAAGGAAGGGAGAAAAGAAAGGGCCUGGGAUGGAGCUCUACAAAGUACCUGGGUUCAACCCCCAGUCUUAAGUACAGACCUGCACUACAGGUGGGUGAGGCUGUUGUUCAGGGGAGAAGCAUGUUGCUCAGGUACAAAUGCUUUCCGAGAGGAUGAGAGCCAUCGGGCCGUGUCCCUCCCCUGGCGUUCAGCUGCCACAUCCGGGCUUUCAUAUCCCCGCCGAGGAGGUGGGGCAGGAAGGUGCAAUGGUCAGAGCCUCCCAGACAGCGCCCCUACUCUCCCCCUGUACUCUCCCGCCAGCCAGGGGCUUCCUUCGUCCGCACCAGCCCCAUUCCAUGGAGGGGGAACCAGAGGGAGAGGCUGUGACUCAGCUAGAAGAAACCACCCGAGUGCUGUGCCUGGGCCAGCUGCUUGCACUCCACCGUGGACUCGGGGGUUGCCGCCAAGGGAAAAUAAAUGAAGGCUCAGAGAAGCUGAGUCUUGCCCGAGGCUGGGGUAGAACUGGCAGGUGCUGAGCUGGGAUUGGAACCCCACAGCCACCCCUUUGACCACUAGGCUAUACCAUGACCCUGUGAGAAAUGGAAUAGGUGCUCAGUCAACACUGGAGGGAUCCAAAAGGACCCCAGGGGUGGCUUGGGUUUGUCUCUCCCAGCUCUGAGACGGACUAUGGACUGAACUGUGUCCUUGAAUUCAUAUGUUGAAUCCCUAAGCCCAGAGGAGAUGGUCCUGGGAGGUGAGGCCCAGAGGGUGACUGGAGUUAGAGAAAGUCGUGAGGGUGGGGCCUUUGCCAUGGGAUAAGUGCCCUCACAGGAAGAGACGCUGAGAGCUCACUGUCUCUCCUCAACACCUGAGCACAUAGCAAGAAGCCGGCCUUCUGCAGACCAGGAGAGGGUGGAUUCCCCACCAGAACCCGGCCACGCCAGCACCCUGUUCUUGGACUUCCUGCCUCCAGAAUUGCGAGAAACAAAUGGCUAUUGUUUGGAAGACCCACCUGGCCCGGAUGGGGACCUUGGGCAAGUCCCCUCUCCUCUCUGGGCCACACGUUAUCUGAAAACAGGACAUGGGCCCCACCCGGGGGCCGGUGUCCAAGCUAAGCCCCUGUCCCCUGACAAGAUCCAAUGAGAUAUCACUUCUUAUAGCUAAAAGAUGCCAAGAUCUGGGUGUGGUGGCACACACCUGUAAUCCCAGCACUCGGGAGGCUGAGGCAGGAGGAUCACUGUGAGCUCGAGACCAUCCUGGGCUACGUAGUGAGUUCCAGGUCAGUCUCAACUACAUAGUGAGACCCUGUCUCAAAACACCCCCCUCCCAAAAUGAAAGAAACAGAGACAAAAGGACAAAUUCCACCAUCUGGUUCCAGUUGUAGACAAACCCAGAGUCCUUGUUCAGAGGUGGAAGGAAUGGGGGUGGCCAGGGGCCAGGAGAGGGAAGCCAGGAGUGAGGACGGAGAAGGUUCUAAAUGGUGGUGGCGGUGGCUGUACAAUGCAGCAGCACUUGCUGCUACAGAUUGAAACUUGAAAAUGGUUAAAAUGGCAAGUUUGAUGAUGUAUGUUUUUUACCACAUUUUUUUUUUAAAAGAAAAUACCCCUCAGGGAUCCUGUGCCUUUGGGUGACUUGUAGACACCAGAGGGUCCUGUGGCUGCUGAGGGGCACACAUGGGCCUGCCCGUGUCACCCAGGCAUCACCCCAGGCAGCAGGGGACAGGAGUCCCCUUUCUGAGGGAGCCAAAUGUCCAGAGCACAGGGCUGGCUGAGGCUCCAGGGUCCUGGGUGACACCACUGGCCCUGGGUCCCUCCUAAACCCCCUCCUACUGUCCCCUACCUCCAAGGGUAGCCAGCAGCCCCCUCAGAAUCUGGGGUGCUUCUUACACAAGUAGCUUCCAGGGCAACCUUAGCCCUCUGUGUCUUGGGGGCCUCGGGCCUGCAAGAUCCUGUUUCUGGUGCCUGGGAUCAGGAUGAGGAGCACAGGAAGUCUCCAGACUCGUCCUCACAGAACAUUGGGCUCCCUCCAGCGGAUCCCCCAUCUGUAGGCUGGGGAAAGGCAUCUCAGAAUGUACUGCUCUGAAGAGUCAGCCUAAACCGGGCUUGGUAGCACAGACUGAGGCAGGAGGAUUGCCAGGAGUUAGAGGCCAGCCUGAACUACACAGCCAGACCCUGUCUCAAAAGGAAAAAGAAAUGUCAGCGAGGGAGGGUGGCAUACAUUCAUAAUCCCAGCUGCUCAGGAGGCUGAGGCAGGAGGAUUGAGUUGGAGGCCCACCUGGGUAAGAAGGCGCCAGGGUCCUCCGCCAUCCAUUCAUCCUCCGCGGUGAGAAUCCCUCCUCCACGGCGUCCCCCAGCUCUGCGGAAGAGCCGAGCACCAGCCGCCACCCUGCAAGGCCUCGUCUUCUUCUAAGAGCCCAGCAUCCUGCUGUCCUCACUCGGAC
ensembl:lincRNA